rnacentral:rRNA from 1 species
UACGAAGGGUGCAAGCGUUACUCGGAAUUACUGGGCGUAAAGCGUGCGUAGGUGGUUUGUUAAGUCUGAUGUGAAAGCCCUGGGCUCAACCUGGGAAUUGCAUUGGAUACUGGCAGGCUAGAGUGCGGUAGAGGAUGGCGGAAUUCCGGUGUAGCAGUGAAAUGCGUAGAGAUCGGGAGGAACAUCUGUGGCGAAGGCGGCCAUCUGGACCAGCACUGACACUGAGGCACGAAAGCGUGGGGAGCAACAGGG